GAUCAUGGCUCAGGACGAACGCUGGCGGCGUGCCUAAUACAUGCAAGUAGAACGCUGAAGGAGGAGCUUGCUUCUCUGGAUGAGUUGCGAACGGGUGAGUAACGCGUAGGUAACCUGCCUGGUAGCAGGGGAUAACUAUUGGAAACGAUAGCUAAUACCGCAUAAUAGCAGUUGUUGCAUGACAGCUGUUUGAAAGGUGCAAUUGCACCACUACCAGAUGG
rnacentral:rRNA from 1 species